UAUUGGUCAAUGGACGCAAGUCUGAACCAGCCAUGCCGCGUGGAGGAUGAAGGUCCUCUGGAUUGUAAACUUCUUUUAUAUGGGACGAAAAAAGGGUUUUCUAACUCGUCUGACGGUACCAUAUGAAUAAGCACCGGCUAACUCCGUGCCAGCAGCCGCGGUAAUACGGAGGGUGCAAGCGUUAUCCGGAUUCACUGGGUUUAAAGGGAGCGUAGGUGGGUUGGUAAGUCAGUGGUGAAAUCUUCGAGCUUAACUCGGAAACUGCCAUUGAUACUAUCAGUCUUGAAUACCGUGGAGGUCAGCGGAAUAUGUCAUGUAGCGGUGAAAUGCUUAGAUAUGACAUAGAACACCAAUUGCGAAGGCAGCUGGCUACACGAAUAUUGACACUCAGGCUCGAAAGCGUGGGGAUCAAACAGGA
rnacentral:rRNA from 1 species